AUUGAACGCUGGCGGCAUGCCUUACACAUGCAAGUCGAGCGGCAGCACGGGAGCAAUCCUGGUGGCGAGUGGCGAACGGGUGAGUAAUAUAUCGGAACGUGCCCAGUCGUGGGGGAUAACGUAGCGAAAGCUACGCUAAUACCGCAUACGAUCUAUGGAUGAAAGCGGGGGAUCGCAAGACCUCGCGCGAUUGGAGCGGCCGAUAUCAGAUUAGGUAGUUGGUGAGGUAAAGGCUCACCAAGCCGACGAUCUGUAGCUGGUCUGAGAGGACGACCAGCCACACUGGGACUGAGACACGGCCCAGACUCCUACGGGAGGCAGCAGUGGGGAAUUUUUGGGACAAUGGGCGCAAGCCUGAUCCAGCAAUGCCGCGUGCAGGAUGAAGG
rnacentral:rRNA from 1 species